CGGCGGGGCUGCCGGGGCGGUCGCGCGGUGCCGCGGGCGCCGCUGAGGCCUCGCGCCGCUCCGCCCGCAGGUUGGCCGCGCUGCCCGUGCCGCUGUGCGCCGCGCUGCUCAGCGCCGCGCUGCUGCUGUACCCGCGGGAGGACGGCAGCGCGGGGCCGCCCGUGGGCCCCCAGAUCGUGGACACCUUCCUGGUGGGCCGCCUGGUGCUGUUGGCCUUCAUGGCUCUGCUGCUGCUGGGCUGCGCGCUGCUGCUGGGGAUGCACCUCCUGGAGCCGACUCACGCCAAAGCGCUGCGCUGCUGGAGGUGACGCUGUGCCGUGGGAGCCCCUCCGGAGGGAUUUCGGGCGGCUGUGGGACUGAGCGGCCUCAUGGAUCCGCACUGCCUGUCAGUGGGAACGGGACGCGGGCCGGUUGGUUGGCUCGGUGAUCUGAGUGGCCCCUUCCAACCCCAAUGGCCGUUAUCCCUGGGACGGAGGGAGGGUGGCUCCACUCUGCUUUAUUUCAGCAGGACAGAGGGAAAGUCGUCGAGGAGUGGAUCCCGUUUUCAUAGCAGUAAACCGGGUGACCACGUUGGGGCGUUGAUUUUUACCAAAUCCAUAUUCACAGGUUGUUCCUUGUUAAAAAACAAUACAUUAAUAAAGCUUUUGGAGGAAGCCUGACCCAGUCUGUAUCUGUUUUCCAGGAAUGGGAGCUCUGCAGCAUUUCGUGUUACUGAAAGCUGCCCUUCCUGUGCUUUCUGGGAGCUCCCCCCUUGCAGGGGUGGGUGGGCUGGGAUGCGCCCUGCGCUCUGCUCCCGGCUGUGCAACAGGGAUGUUGGCUCUGGGAGGUUCUGAAGUUGAGCCCAAAACAAAAUUUGUAUUUAUCCUCCAUCUUAACAACACUGAGAGCAGCAAGCAGUUCCCCAAGCCUCGCUGCUGCCGUCGCGUCCCACAAAGAGGGAAGCUGUGGCAAAGCAGCUGAAGCACCAAGAAAAGCCCUAAAAGCAGAAGUGUGAGGCUUCUCUCUGGAAAUAAAUGCGGAACGUCUGCUCUCUGCUCCCCUCAGUCACCUGUUUGCGACUAAAAUCGGUCAUUGGACUCCUCCUGGGGGCGCUCGGGGGGACCAGAAGACAGACCCCAUCGGUGUCCUGUGCCCCCUCCGGGGGUGCUCUGAUGGCCGCGGGCACUGCGGUGUUAUUUGUGCUGGGCGCAGCACUGCAGCUCCGCUCCCCCCCACGGGGAUUUCCAGGCAGCUCCUGUUUAUUUGUGGGAAGGAAGGAGCACAUCAAGGAGCCGCUGUGAGCCGGAGCUGCUUUCCAAGCUUUUGCUGCCGUCCCCCACCCGAACCAAAAACGAUCAUCUCAGCGGUCUCUUCCAUCCCUUACAGUUCUAUGAUUCUGUGAUCCUGCGUUGCUGGCCGGAUGCUGGGAUUCAGGGAGAUGUCAUCACCCUUUUCCUGCUGCCAGCUCUCCUGCAGGUGAUCCGCGUCCCACCCGGGGGCAUCGCGCUAAAUGCCAGCAGGAGAACCCCCGCACCGGGACCGCCGGCAGCGGCAGCAGCGGGCUGGGAGCUGCUCAGGGGCUGCGGGGACGGCAGCCCUCCCUGCGCCAACCUCUGCCCGCUCAUUAGGAAGGCGCGGGGCUGCUCCGCCGCGGCGCAGGAGAAUCUCCUGGUCCUGAUUUAAGGUCCGUGAGUGACGGCAAUUCCUCACGCCUCGCGCCGCGCUCUGCUGGCGUUUAAUUACUCUCGCUGGCACAGAACUGGCCUCUGAUUUCCACCUUGACUUUGCUGACUUCAGCUUCCCGCUGUCGAGCCCCGCUUUGCCUUUGGCUGCUAAUUAAAAAGCCCUUCAGCGCCCGCCGGCUGCUCCUUGCGCGGGUAAUUACGGGCCGUGCCCGAAGCACCCCCUCACCUCCGCAGAGCCGCACGGCGCCGAAGGCGGCGCGGCCGUUCGUGGCACGGCUCGGAGAGCGGCACCGCGGGGUCGCGCACGGAAGGGCACCCAGGGGCGGCUGCUGGAGGGGAACUCGGGGCCGCCCCCCACGCGUGCCCAAAGCACCGCUCGGCGUGCCCUGAAAUCCCGGUUUUCCCGAGCAGAGCAGCACGAGCUUCUUUGUGCACGGCAGCUGUGGUGGGGCCCGGGCUGCCG
rnacentral:lncRNA from 7 species